UACGUAGGGUGCGAGCGUUGUCCGGAUUUAUUGGGCGUAAAGAGCUCGUAGGCGGUUUGUCGCGUCGGCCGUGAAAUCUCCACGCUUAACGUGGAGCGUGCGGUCGAUACGGGCAGACUUGAGUUCGGUAGGGGAGACUGGAAUUCCUGGUGUAGCGGUGAAAUGCGCAGAUAUCAGGAGGAACACCAGUGGCGAAGGCGAGUCCCUGGACAACUUCUGACGCUGAGGCACGAAAGCUAGGGGAGCAAACAGG
rnacentral:rRNA from 1 species